UUUUUGUUUUUUGUUUUUUGUUUUUGAGAUAGAGUCUCACUCUGUUCUCCAGGCUGGAGUGCAGUGGUGUGAUCUCGGCUCACUGCAACCUCCGCCUCCUUGGUUCCAGAGAUUCUCCUGCCUCAGCCUCCUGAGUAGUUGGGAUUACAGGUGCCCACCACCAAGCCCAGCUAAUUUUUGUAUUUUUAGUAGAGACAGGGUUUCACCAUGUUGGCCAAGUUGGUCUCGAACUCCUGACCUCAAGUGAUCCGCCCGUCUUGGCCUCCCAAAGUGCUGGAAUUACAGGCGUGAGUCACCACGCCCAGCCUGAUAUACAAAUGUUUUAAACUUUGAUAAUGUUCCACUUUAUCUAUUUGUUCUUCUGUUGCCUGUGCUUUUGGCGCCAUAACCAAGAAAUCAUUGCCAAAUGCAACGUCAUGAAGCUUUUCCCCUGUGUUUUCUUCUAAGAGUUUUGUGGUUUUAGCUCUUGAGUUCAGGUCUUUGAUGCAGGUUGAGUUGAUUUUUGCAUGCGGUGUAAGGGCUGGUGCAGCCUCAUGCUCUGGGCUCUUGAUUUGCUUCUCUUCUUUUCUCACGCCCAGCUGGUUCUGCUGGGUGGCGGGGAGGAGUGGGGAAGUCCCGGGCUGGGCCUGCCCUAUCAUCCCCUCUCAGGCCAGCCAGGGAGUCUCAGCUCCUGCCCAGGACCUGGCUGGACAUGCGCCCUACCGGAAAAGCCUGGGCCGCCUUUCUAGGCUGAUGGCAGGGCCAGCCCAGGGCGUCCUGAGGCCUGCCCUGCAGACAUGCCCCUCAUCCUCGGUGGUGUAGCUGCCUGGCCUGCGUGUGAGACCAGCUGUCUGCUUCAGGGCACGGAGGCUGAGUGUUUCCAGCCUGUCCCCUUGCUCGGCUCUCCCUCUGGGGAUGCCCCUGCAGCUCAUUCUCUGCCUCCGCUUCUGCCAUCUGUGCCUUUGUCUGCUUCCUGUUUGAGGUGGUCAUCCCUGCUGCCGCCCCUCAUGAUCUGGACAGGAGUCUCCGUCCUGAAGCCACCACCCGAACCCCUGUGCCUCAGACCCCUCCUACCCACCACAUGGGUUCCACUGUGACCAACUCAGCAGCUGAUGGAGCUUCCCUUGGGGCUCUCCUAGCAACGGGGAGCUGGCCUGAGGCCUGGCCUCAGUCCCUAAGUGGAAGUGGGCUGUGAGGGUGUCAGCCUUUUUCUGCUGCCUGGUGCUCUAGGGGUUGGCUUGUCACUCCUGGAAGCACUUGCCAUCCUUACACAGCACCCCACACCCUCCUCCCUGCCUCCUACCCCUUCUUCCAAGGGGUCAUCUCUGCUUCC
rnacentral:lncRNA from 1 species